AAACCUGGAUUAAUACACUGAUGAAUAGAACCCUUUUUACAUUUCCCUACAACAGGUUUGAGAUGAUUAUGUCUUUUAUUAUUUUGGAGCCUACACUCGAGUAACAAGAUUGUUUCAUAAUUACUGAACUUUGUGUUUUUUUACUGUUUACCGCUUUCUCACUCUACUGUGAAUGUUUGAUCCCACAUGUGAUGCCGUUUUUCGAUUCGCCUGCACUGAAAUAAAUCGAAUCGAAUAUUUUAUUUCAAAUUCCAUAUCCAUUCAACUGUAUCUAUGUUGCAUAAAAUGCAUAUGGAUUCAUAUCCGUGUCAUCUGUCAAACAUUUCUGAUUCAACAGCGGCUAGUGAAUAUUAUCGUCACUGGCUAACAUUGUUGUUAUAUGCAUUGAAUAUAUAACCGGUACAUGUUUCGUACAUAGUUUCGACGGAUUCAUCGGCAUUGCGAUUGUCAUAUGCGUAUUCUUCAUAUCACCAGUACGAUUUUAUUCAGUCGUCGCAACAGAUGGAGUAGCUUACGAACAGGCAAGAUUACUGAAGAAUCAGGAAAUUCUCUCUUUGCCUUUUGAAAAUAAUAAAUGGUAAGUUUUGCCGUUCAUAUUGAAUUGACACCGUAGUUACAAUGUUACAGAAAGUUCUUCUCUUUCCUCUCUUUGCAGCAUGUUUGACCCAAGCGCUCGUUCAGAAGCUGUAUCCUUUAAAUUGUUAGGAUCAAACCUGAGCGAUAAAGAUCUUAUUGGCAAUGUAAAGAAAAUGCUGGACAUUCAUGAACACCCCACAAGACCCCACAAGAAUGGCAAAGUAUUGAGCAACAUACUGGGAUCUAUCAUAUGUGGACAGGAAAGGCAAUUAGCAUUGUAAGUUAUUAAUAGCAGAUACCAUGUAGAUGAAACAGUAAAAACAAUAAAAUAAUGAAAACAAUAUUCGUAAUUUGUUAGUUUGAUAGUAUCACUCACCGUAUCAACUAUUAAUUAUAUUAAUUUUUA